AGCUUUGCGCAGUGGCAGUAUCGUAGCCAAUGAGGUUUAUCUGAGGCACGAUUAUUGCUAAUUGAAAACUUUUCUAAUUUUUAAUACGAAAUUUUCUGUGACGUACGAAUUAC
rnacentral:snRNA from 1 species